CAGUCUGAUGUGAUUGCUCAGUGAAUCUAGAAGGAGGGUGCUCCGGUCCAUGUUGGGACCUGGCACACGGCCCUUCCUGCCGCUAGUUAUGUGGUACCAUGACUCAUAUGUCAGAAACUAAGGCACUGAAAAAUGCUUUAAGGAGACAGGCGGUUCUCAUAAGGACCCUCCAUGCUGAACAGGAUGCCUUGUUCCUGUCUAACUGGGAGGAUGUGACAGGGUGACAACAGAAGCGGAUCCCCUGGAAUUUCAUGGGUGCAGAAGCCAUGCAGUUUGACCUGGAAAUUCCCAUGGAGAUGACUAUGCUACUGCCCAGAGAGACGACCAUGGGUGUCGGGACCUUCCUGCAGGCCAGUGCUGAGGAGAGUAUUGGCCCUGCCUCCUCUGUGGCCCAGGCUGGAGCAGUGCAACCCCUGGGCUGUCUCAAGGCUUGAUCCUUUCAAGGAUGUCACGGAGAUGGGAUCGUGAAGCCUGUAGCCUUGCAGACUGCUGGCUUCCCCUUAGCAAUACAUACGUCCUCCGUACCCCAUCAUAGAAGGCAGGCUGGUUUGUCCUUAUUACAGAAUCGUAUUCCUUUACCUGUGUUUCCUCUUACCUGCUGACGGGUAAGUUUUCAGUUCUUUUGGAUAAAUAGCACGGAACGCAAUGCAAUCAUGGGGCCAUACAUUACCUUACGGUGAGUCUGUCUAGCUUUGUGAGAAAGUGUUUCUUUUCUAAUGUGAAAAAUGAAGAAUAGAGCCAGGUGUGGUGGCUCACGCCUGUAAUCCCAGGACUCGGGAGGCUGAGGCAGGAGAAUUUUUGCGAGUUUGAGACCAGCCUGGGCUGCAAAGUGAGCUCAAGGCCUGCCCAAACUGCAUAGAGACCCUGUCUCAAAAAAAAAAAAAAAAAAGAAGAAGAAGAAUAGAUUUAAAUCAGGGAAAAGACUUACCUUUUCCAUCCCAGCAAUGAGAUUAUGCUGUCGGCUUCCAGCAGCUUGGCCAUUAGAGUUCCCAAAGAACUUGCCCAAAAUGGGUACAAACCAGGAAGGUGCUUGGGGACACCGGGCUCUGGGACAGAAGGGUCUUAGACCCUGUUCCACCAAGCCCUGCUUCCUGGGCACAUUUUACUCCCCCACCCCCCGGGGAGCCAUCCAGCCCAUUGUGCUCAGGGACCUUUUCUUUUCUCGCCUGUCCAGCCUCAGCCUCUCCUGCAGCUUUCCUACAGUGGCCUUUGGAACUUACUGGAGGCAUUAGUCACAUCCCCAGGCUUGGACAGGGCUCUUCCCAGGCGGGUCUGAGAUAAGGUCUGAGAGCAGGUAGUUUACUGGGGAGGUGAUUCCAGGAAGCCAGAGCAAGACAAGAUUUGCUGAGGGCCACUGGUGGGAGGUGUGUAGGGUGCAUUCCAGUGGGGUCCCCCGAGGCUCCAGGGAGCUGAUCAGAUAUUUCAGAUUUGUCCCUUGGAAGUGAGAAGACUGGAAACCGGGGUCCUCCCUCACUGGCUCCUUCUUUUGUUGGCUGAAUGGGAGCAACUCCAGGGCCCUGUGCAAGGUGCGCUGGGCCAGAGAAGCCCUGGCAGUGGGAGAGGGCCCCUGUUCCUCCCUCCUUCCGGGAAGUCCUGCCCGCCUCCUCCCUCCCCACCACUUGCUCUGACUUGGGGCCACUGAGGCUGCUACCCGAUCUGGGGUGUCCCUCCGGCUGAAUUUUGUUCUUAGAUUUGCUGCCACUCCCCCCUGUGUCACUCUUGGCCCAGCCAUUUAAUAUCUCAGUCACUUAAUACCCUGCCCACCCCGGAAUACUUCCCUCUUCUCUCACUGCCCGGCCUUUUGGCUCUGUUUUCAAGCAUCCCUUCUCACGUACUAGCACUCCAAUCCUCCACCUCCGCUUCCUCCAGCCUCUCACCUCUGCCCCAGGGUCCCUUGGUGCCACUUGGAGCCUUCUCCACCUCUGCCUGCUGUGCUUGGGUGUGGCCGAUGCUGGUGCAGCACAGCCAGCCUGACCGUCUCCCUGAAUGUCUCCGCCACCCCAACAAGGUCCCAUGGCCAGGUGUCAGAACUGCCACUUCCUCUGCCCUCAGUGACCCUCCGGGCCAUACUUUCUGGCUCAGAGUCCUUGCAUGUGGGACGCAAUACCCUGCAAAUGCUCACUGCAGUGCAGUGCCCUGGUCCCAGCAUCUCAGCUCUGUCCUGUGGUUCCCAUGGGUGUAAACACGCCUGUACCUCAAAAACACAAGUGAAACCUCCCUGUACCCCACUUCCCCUCUGGCUACUGCCCCGUCUCUGUUCCCUUUGCAGCCAAACUGCAAGUUGUAUCAGUGCCCUUACCACUCCAAGCACCUGUGCCCCCUUCCAGCCUGUAGCAAGCAACCUGUGUCCCUCCUGCCCCCACAGUGACCCCCAGAGAGUUCCUCAGUCAUCUCCCUCUUCCUGUGCUCUCUGCUUCCUCCGCCUGUCAGCCACUGUCUCAGUGUGCUCCCCACACUAUGCACGGAGCCUUCCGAGCCCCUGCCCUUGCUCCUAUGUUCUCCACACCCGCUGUCCAAGGAGGACUCAGCCUUCUCUCUUCCUCCACGCAGGAGUCCAGAUACAAAGAUCCUCCCACCUAUUAGAGGUCCUUGGGCAGCUGAGUGAUGCUUCUCCGCACGCAGUGUGCAGCGCUACAGUCCCCUGUCUCCCACCUCCCCAGCUGGGCUCUAAGCACCCUGCUCUGCCGCCUCGGGCUCUAGGUUGGGGAUAGCCUGGACUCCUCUUUUCUGUAGCCAUUUCCACCCACAUAGACCUCCUGCGAGCUCUGCCUUCACAAAACCACAGUUUGGCCCUGUUAUAGUUUGGAUCAAAAAUGUCCUGCAAAAGGCUUGUGUGUGCAGAGGCCUGGUUUCUGGAAUGUGAUUGGACCAAAGGGGCACCAAGCUCCAGAGUGGAUUAAUCUAUUGGUGCUGAGUUCCUAGCUACAUCUGUUAGGAGGCGGGGCCUGAUGGGAGGAAGUGAGUCCUUGCGGGGUAACCAGAAGGAUACUGCUUGCCCCUGACCCCUUCCUCUCUGGCCCUUUCCCUCUCUCUGCAUUCUGGCAGCUGUGAGGUGAGCAGCUUCCUCCAAUCUGCCCUUCUCCCGUGUUCUUUCACGGAGCCACACCUCUGAAACCGUGAGCUGGAAUCAACUUUCCCUCCUUAACUUGUUUCUCAUAGGAAUUUUGUUACAGGGACCGGAAGCUGCUGGACACAGAUCCUUAUCCAUGACCCAGUGGUGCUGCACCCUCCAGCCCACCUGCCAUCCCUCUGACAGCCGGCUCUGCCCUUGCUGCUAAUCCCUUCUGCCCCAGCCAUGGGUAGCCUUGCUGUACCUACCCACUGUGCCAGCCUCCCUGGUUUCCAUCUCCUUUAUUGUCCAUGCCAGGAGCCUACACAGGACAGUCCCGUCUGCUUGGAAGUGUCCCCUUAGGGAACCCCAAGUACAUUCUCACUCUGUUCCCCAUACUAGCAGCAGGGCCAGUCCUGGUCACCCCCAUCAAACAGUCACCGCCCCUCCCUGCCUGCAAAACCAGGCCUUCUGUUAUGGAUUAAGAACUGGUGGUCAACUUAAUGCCAGCUGGAUUACAUCAGCAAGGCACUGAGCGUACAUGUUCCACCUGAAGAAAGUUGCCAGCAUAGAGACAUGGAGAAAGAGAAGCUAUUGCACUGAGACGUUGAGCAUUGUGGGUUCUCCUACAUGUUGCUGUUUGAGCCAUUGGUUCUCCUGGAGAAGCUCUGGCGCUCACAUCGAGCAUUGCUUCCUGGCUCUGGAGGGGAAGAUGUGUGCUGCUUGGUAUCCAGGAUGAACUCAUCACGCUGGCUUCCUGGCAUGUACUUGACUGUGCUUAUCUUCAGAGAAGCUGGGGGCCUCUGUGUCACUGAGGUUGGCUGUGGUGCUUUUCAGGACAGCCCUGGUCUUUGUUGUGAGUGUGAUUUCUUCGUUCCAGUGUAGAAUACUCAACCAACGAGCAUAGCUCCUUCACCCUGCUGGCAUAGACUUUCUAGCUUCCACUGCUGACUUGGACCUUCCUGGCACGAAUCUGUAAAAGAGACUGGCAUGAGUCCUUCUUGUGGGCUGUAGACCUCCAGUUGGACUCGUGGGAGGCAUUGCCAUGAGCUCUAGGUCUUCAUCUGGACUCAUGUGGGACACUGCUGUGGGAUUCAGGCCCUUGGCUAAAUAUUCUAUGUCUUUCGUGUUGUGGAUAGAUUUCCUGCAUUUUCUUAUGUUAACUCUGGGUGACCAUCAUAAAGCAAUAUUAUAAACUCCA